GGUUUAUCCUUUAUUUGCUAAGCAUAUUAUGGAGACCGGUCACCCAUCGAAUCUACUAGAUAAUUACAAGAUCUUACAUAGAGUUCAGGACAACAUAAAUCUAAAUAAUCUUGAAUUACUCGAGAUUAAAAGAUCUCUCAAAAAAGAAUAUGAUAAAUCUCUUAAUAUUCAGAUUAACAUUCCUGAAACUAAUUUAAUUAAUAUUUUAUUUGAAUAACUCUUCCCUCCCUUUCCGGUUAAUUUAUUUUAAUAUAAACCCCGUUGUUUUCUUAAUAUAAACUGGUAGAGACAUCUGUUUAACAGUUUUAAAAUAUUUUAAAGUUACUGUGGGUACCGCUAUCUAGUACCCAUUCGGUUAUAGGAUAUAAAAUAUAGAUUUCUUUGUAACGUUCUUUCUUAAUUAUGAAAACUAGAUAUAGAUGACUCUGUUGGUCAGAUUAGUUUGAAUGGCGGUUAUCAUAGUUUUUAGAUCGUUUUGUCUAUUGUGUUGUAACGGUGCUUUUUAGAUGUUAUUGUUUUAAACCUAAGUGUAUUAUUUGUUAUCUUACGAUAAGAUUUACUUGCUUAAUUUUAGCUGUACCGUUCUAUAUGUGCUUUUGUUUUGUUUUGACAAAUCUCGUUUUUAACAAUUCCUCGACCUGAUGAUGCGAUGAUAUUGUAAUCGCGAAACCGGUCGUCAUAAUAAAAGGAAUUUCUGGUGAAAUAAGACCUUUAAUUUCUACUGUGUUUGCUAGCAAAUACCUAUAAAAAUACAUCCCAGAACAUGGACACCAUUCUCCAAACUUGUAAAACAGUUUAAUUAUUCUUGUUAUUUAGAUUAAGUCUGAUAAUUGUCGUUAAUUAUAAUAAUAAUAAUAAUAAUAAUAUAAUAAUAUAAUAAUAAAUUCUU